CAGUCGCCACGGUAAUACGUAGGUGGCGAGCGUUGUCCGGAAUCAUUGGGCGUAAAGGGAGCGCAGGCGGGCAUGUAAGUCUUUCUUAAAAGUUCGGGGCUCAACCCCGUGAUGGGAAAGAAACUACAUGUCUUGAGUACAGGAGAGGAAAGCGGAAUUCCCAGUGUAGCGGUGAAAUGCGUAGAUAUUGGGAGGAACACCAGUGGCGAAGGCAGCUUUCUGGACUGCAACUGACGCUGAGGCUCGAAAGCCAGGGGAGCGAACGGGAUUAGAUACCCGUGUAGUCCCUGUCUCUUAUACA
rnacentral:rRNA from 1 species